rnacentral:lncRNA from 1 species
AUAGAUUACAGGGCAUUUAAUCUUCUUUAACCUCUCCUGCCUGUUCAAUUGGUUCAUUUGCUUUCAUUCAGAUAUCUGAAUUACUUUUAUGUAAAUAUAUAGCGUUCUCGGCUUCCUUUCAUGCGUAUUUUUUUUGUUUAAAAACAAAAGCAGCAAUUUAAAAAGGAUAAAGACAUGACUGAACAGAUCAGAUCCCACUUUCUCUGUUAUAAAGCAGGGUGUUAUCUCUUUGUGUGAUUCUAGGGACUCCAUUGCAAUAUCUCAGGGAAUUAAUUAAACGUUUUGUAGGCUCCUCAUGUACAAUUUUCUGAAUCUCCUAGUAUACCCCCAGCAUUUCAGAGUCACAAGGCCAGGGUGGUAUGUAAGGGAGUGUAUUUAGAAAGCCAAGAACAAGCCAUUCACUAUUGAAUUGUGCUAUUAUCUACAGGACUUACUGCCCUCGCUGAGCAGGCUAGGUGGCAAAUGAGGAGAUCUUCCACUCAGAGGACAAGGAGCCAGGACGACUUUUCAGUUCCCCAGCCCCAGCCCAUAGGGUGAUGGAAACUGGGUGAAUUUAAGGGAGGGAUAACUGAGUGCAGAGAAAAGAUGGGGAGGAGAGAGCGCAGGAACACUGGAAAAGGCAAAAUAGGAGAUGUCAGCACCCUCCCCAAGCUCAUUUCAAGCAAGUCCUUAGCUCUGAUUAUCUAGAACAAUGGCAGCUCAGGAUGGUAACAGUGAACAUAAAGCAGAAGCAGGCCAGGCACAGCCAUGUGAAUGCUGUCCUGCCUCAUUCCACUGGGGAACUAUAACGUAGGUUACCGACAGAGCCCAAUCCUGCUCCACUGGAGUCAGUGGCUCUGCGGUCUCGGUGAACAGCAGCACAUGGAGAAGAGCGACUUCUCCUUUCCCCUCAACUUCUCACGACACCUCAGCAAAUGCAGGCUCCUCCCUUGCAUUGCUCCUUACUCUGUGGAAAUCAUGAGGGUCCAGGCCAGCUCCUACGGCUGCGGGCUGGCUCCGGGAUUUCCUGCCAGCAUGUGCUGAGCGGGACUUGCUUAAAGGAGCCUCGCUGGCCAGGCCAUUUAGUUCCCAUGACGUCUGUAUUAUGGGUGCCAUAUGUCAGCCCACAGCUUCAUCUGCUCCCUCUCUGUCAUGUGGCUUUCACCUCCCCCACCCCCGCCCCCACACACACAUUUCAGAACCGUGGGGACCAAGCAAAUCCCUCGGCAGACUCAGUCGGCCUGCUCGGAGGUGUGCAGCUCUCUAAACUGCUUUCAUGCGCAGAGCCAGAGUUACUCAGCUCUCUAAGAGAGCACGGCUUCUAUCGAGGAAUGUCCAUGCUAGAGAGCCACAGGCGCCGGCUGACACACGCGCCGUGCUUCCCGCUCCCCAAAGAGAAAACGUUUUCCAUUGCCUGCGCUUUCGGAAAUACUCGAAUGCUGCUCAUGUGUGAGCAGACACUGUUCCCUGGAGCUGGCUGCGCCUGCCGGAGAUGCUGCCUUGCCUGGCACGAUGCCAAGAUUGAGAUACAAAGAGAGGCAUCGAAGUCAGCCUGGACUGUGCCGUGUAGUGUUACUUGAGUUACAUGGGGACCCUUGGAAGGGAUGACCAGAGGGUUGAGGAAGAGUUCUGCGGUGGAAGUCCACAGUGUGUUAGACAAUAAUGUUGCACUCCAUAUGAUUUUAUGAAAAUAUGCUAAUAAGUGUGAAUAUAAUGUAACUGGAAUAUGCUUCAUGCAAAAGGUCUCUUGUAAGGUAUCAUUACAAAGCUUAUAAUCUACUGAGUGUGUUCAUUUGUAUGAAUGUAUCAUUCUUGUAUCUGAAACCAGAAAUAUGAAAUAUAACUCUGAGGUCCUAUUGUAAUUAUGCAAAGUGUGGGCCAUUAUUGGUAGUUUCGAAUCUUGAUGGCUCCCAUUAACCAGGGCAAUUGACUGUAGAUGGCUCUGUUUACUUGCAAGCCUUCCUGUGAGUCAGGCCAGGAAAAAUGAAGGCUGGGGGUCUCCCAGGACAUGUGACCAUGUCACCUGGUAUUGGAAUCCAUCUUAAACCUGGGGCUUUUCCAUUUAGAAGAAGGACCCAGAGAAACAAAAGAUUCCCACCUUGUCCCCCCAAUAUAAGGGAGUGGAACAGAACAAAGGGGGCUGCAGUCAUGAGAAAUCCUCUAGCUACCACCUGAGAUGGAACAAGAAUUGUACUGGGGAAAGGAUUGGGCCCAGACUAGAAAGGAGUCUAGUCUGUGAAAGAAGCUUAUUUGAACAUCUCUGGGGGUGAGAUUUAAUCUGUAAUCAGUUUCUGAAUGUAUUAGGCUUAGACUUGUGUGUUUUUAUUUUAUUUUCCUUGGUAACUCACUUUGUUCUGUCUGUUAUUACUUGG